rnacentral:rRNA from 1 species
CAGCAGCCACGGGAAUACGAAGGGUGCAAGCGUUAAUCGGAAUUACUGGGCGUAAAGCGUGUGUAGGCGGUGAGUUAAGUCUGCUGUGAAAUCCCCGGGCUCAACCUGGGAAUGGCAGUGGAUACUGGCUCGCUAGAGUGUGUCAGAGGAUGGUGGAAUUCCCGGUGUAGCGGUGAAAUGCGUAGAGAUCGGGAGGAACAUCAGUGGCGAAGGCGACUAUCUGGGCCAACACUGACACUGAGGCACGAAAGCGUGGGGAGCAAACAGGAUUAGAUACCCCCGUAGUCCCUGUCUCUUAUAC